rnacentral:rRNA from 1 species
UACAGAGGGUGCGAGCGUUGUCCGGAAUCACUGGGCGUAAAGGGCGCGUAGGUGGUGGCUUAAGCGUGCGGUGAAAGCUCGGAGCUCAACUCCGAGUCGGCCGUGCGAACUGGGCUCACUGGAGCAUAGUAGAGGCAGGUGGAAUUCCGGGGUGUAGCGGUGGGAAUGCGUAGAGAUCCGGAAGAACACCGGUGGCGAAGGCGGCCUGCUGGGCUAUGGCUGACACUGAGGCGCGACGAGCGUGGGGAGCAAACAGG